rnacentral:rRNA from 1 species
UGGUCUUGACAUAGAAAGAACUUUCCAGAGAUGGAUUGGUGCCUGCUUGCAGGAGAUUUCAUACAGGUGCUGCACGGCUGUCGUCAGCUCGUGUCGUGAGAUGUUGGGUUAAGUCCCGCAACGACCGCAACCCUCGUCGUUAGUUGCUAACAGUUCAGCUGAGAACUCUAACGAGACUGCCUACGCAAGUAGGAGGAAGGUGAGGACGACGUCAAGUCAUCAUGGCCCUUACGACCAGGGCUACACACGUGCUACAAUGGGGUAUACAAAGAGCAACAAUACGGUGACAUGGAGCGAAUCUCAAAAAUGCCUCCCAGUUCGGAUUGAAGUCUGCAACUCGACUACGUGAAGUUGGAAUCGCUAAUAAUCGUAGAUCAGCUAUGCUACGGUGAAUACCUUUCCGGUGCU